rnacentral:tRNA from 1 species
GGCGCCGUAGGUCAUGAUCGGCGCCGGGUCGGUCUUGCGCACCACCAGCUCGCUCGGUUCGGCAUCCGGGUGGCGCUG